AUACGGGGGAUGCAAGCGUUAUUCGGAAUCAUUGGGCGUAAAGGGCACGCAGGCGGUUCUGUCAGUCAGAUGUGGAAGCCCGGGGCUUAACCCCGGACGUGCAUUUGAAACAGCAGGACUUGAGUAUGGUAGAGGAAAGCGGAAUUCCUGGUGUAGAGGUGAAAUUCGUAGAUAUCAGGAGGAACACCGGUGGCGAAGGCGGCUUUCUGGACCAAAACUGACGCUGAGGUGCGAAGGCGUGGGUAGCGAACAGGAUUAGAUACCCGGGUAGUCC
rnacentral:rRNA from 1 species